rnacentral:rRNA from 1 species
GCGAAAGGGGCUUCGGUCCUGAGUAGAGUGGCGAACGGGUGAGUAACGCGUGGGUGAUCUACCUUCGAGCGGGGGAUAACGUCCCGAAAGGGACGCUAAUACCGCAUAACAUCCUGCCUUUGAAGAGGUGGAGAUCAAAGCUGGGGAUCGCAAGACCCGGCACUUGAAGAGGGGCCCGCGUCUGAUUAGCUAGUUGGUGGGGUAACGGCCUACCAAGGCAACGAUCAGUAUCCGGCCUGAGAGGGCGGACGGACACACUGGGACUGAGACACGGCCCAGACUCCUACGGGAGGCAGCAAGUGGGGAAUUGUUCGCAAUGGGCGCAAGCCUGACGACGCAACGCCGCGUGGAGGAUGAAGAUUUUCGGAUCGUAAACUCCUGUCGAAUGGGACGAAUAGGUUGCGGUUAACAGCCCGUAAUCCUGACGGUACCGUUAAAGGAAACCCCGGCUAACUUCGUGCCAGCAGCCGCGGUAAUACGGGGGGGGUAAAGCGUUGUUCGGAAUUACUG